UACUGAACUCAGCGAAAUGCUCCACUAGGCUAAUAUAAGCAUGUUAUAAGGGUAAAUUAAUAAGCAGAUAUGAAAGGCGGUAAAUAAACAGGUUCAUCAAAGUCAUGCUUCUACUAAACAACUACAUUUAUGAAUAUGAGGUUUUAUUGUCAUUUGAUCAACUAGAUGUCAAUGUCAGUUUACAAGCAUAUUCCAAUGUAUGCUAAUUUUCAUGCAUGUCCAUUAUGUUCAUAAUAUUACAAUGAAGGAUGAUACUUUUCAUUACUAUCCUAACCAUACAAUAUGUCAAUCAACAAAGGUGAUCUACUACUUCAAGAAUAUCAAUGCCAAGAAUGACUAACAUGUCACACCCCGGGGCCCAGCGGAAGCCAGCCCAGCGCGUGCCCAGAUCCGCCAUAUGUCUAAAACAUAUAAGGCGUCUACAAGAAAGCGAUAAAUAAAGCAAUAAUAAAAGAACAUCUAGGAGUAUCAGAGCACAGUGUAUCUAGAUUUCUAUAACAAGAAAAGGUGAGAGAAGCCAAAACCACUAAAAGGAAACAUAAAGUAAUACAACAAAAAUCUGAGUACAAGAGCUGAAAGAGUACAUAGGUGGUCUCUAUACAUGGUACAAAAAUCUCUCUCUCCAAAACACAAAAGGAGAGUAACCACCUAAGAGCAAGUAGCUCCCCGCUAUCUAGCUAGGCGACACCCUUGCCGCGAUCCCGUGCCUCCGCCGGUGCCGAAGGCUCUGAAAUAAAACUAUAAAACAGGAAGCGUGAGAACUAUUAAAUAAUAGUUCCCAGUGGGUAAUUACUGACUUCAGUGAAAUGCGCCACUAGGCCCAAAAGCUACAAAAAGAGUAAGUACGAGUAUAAGCAAAAGCGAUAUAUACGAGAAGCAAAUAAACAUGAGUACUUGCUACUACAUGAUAUCUCUACUUAGCAUGGAAUUGCAUAAGUAAGAAAGUUAUACUAUCAUGAAAAUGCACGAGUAUACAACUGUCAUAAUAUCCACAAUGUAAUAGUAAAAUGUCAUUAUUUAUUAUUCUAGUCAAUGUUCACUUGGCAUGUUAACUACUUAAAGUUAAAUCUUGGAAGAUCCGCCCGAAGGCUGUCUGGCCUGUAAAUCCACCCGUAGGCUGUCUGGUUGAUGCCGAGCCUAAUGGCCCCGUUGUAGUCAACAUCCCCACUCUAGGAAUGAGUCUUGCCCACGGCAAUCCACUUCGGCGCCCAAUCCUGCACGGCGAAUAUGUAUCGCGAUGGCCAUCUCCAGAGUGCCAGCUUGUAGGGAGCGACCCUCACAAGCAUGUGCGAAUGAGCACAAAGACAAGUAAGCAUAUAUGUCCGUCUCAAGUCUCAAGUCAUUAUGUCUAAAACAUGGAAUAUAGUAACUGUGUCGAUGGCUUAUCACUAUGUCAUCAUGUCUAAAACAUGAAAUAUAGCAACUGUGUCGAUGGUCUAUCACUAUGUCAUCAUGUCUAAAAUACGAAAUAUAGUCGAUGUCCAAUGGCCUAUCACUAUGUCUCUAUGUUGCAGUUUCAUAGUUUAGUAGCUAUGGCCUAUCACUAUGUCUCUAUGUCUCUAUGUUGCAGUUUCAUGGCCUAUCACUAUGUCAUUAUGUUUAAAACAUGAAAUAUAGUUUCUAUGUCACUAUGUCUCUAUGGCCUAUCACUAUGUCUCUAUAGUCGAUGUCCAAUGGCCUAUCACUAGCUCAAGUGCCCCUUCAUGACACUUUCGUUCACUAAGUCAAAACAUGAUAAUUAUGUUCAUGAAUACAUAAUUUUAAUCAUUUUUCUUGUACGAGACAUGUAAUCAACUCGCAAGGAUAAACACUUUUCCAUGCAUGCAGCCUACACAUAUAGCUCCACUAUAUAGAGUGAAAUUUUUAUUAUACAUAACCCAUGCAUUUUAAGUGUUCUAAAAUUCACAUAAAUCCCAUUUAGCAUGAAUAUGCAAUCAAAUUGACGUUACGACAAGUAUAACACCCAUAGGGGGCAUUUUGCCCCGGUUUCAUGAAGUCAAACCCACCACAACUCUUGCGACCCUUCGUUUGCUCCGACGAAGGUGCCUACAAGCCUCCUAGUACCCUAGAAGCAUCAAAAUGGGAGUUAAACGAAUCUAACGAACAACCAUGAGGUUGAUCAAAAGCCAACUCAAGGAUAGGGCUAAAAACUCACCGAAAGCGAAGGAAAUUCUCUCGAUCUCCAAAUAGGAGUUAGAGUCCUUCCAAUCCAACCUAAACAAAGGUUCUAAACCCAUCAAUUAGGUUCCAAAGCCCCACAAACAAAAAUCCCCAAUUCUAACCCUAAAACCGAAAUCUAGGGUUUUAUUUGGUAAAACCUACCAAAACAUACUCCAAAGAGUAGAUUAAGCAUACUAACCUCCUUGGCAGCUCCAAACCAAGCUCAAAAUGCUCUAGGGUUGAAGGUUGAUCCUCUAUCAAGCUCCUAGCCUAAGCUCCAAGACACCAAUGGUGAGAAGAGAGGGUGUGGAGGCAGUCCAAAGUCCACUAAGCAAGCUCUCCUUCUUCUUCUCCUCUUUCCUUAUUCUUCUUCUUCUCUUUUUAGAGUGUAAGAGAGAGUGUGAGGGAGAGAAAUGAGAGAGAGAGGGAGAGGACAAACCAUAUAGGCCCUCUAAUGCAACAAAAUCCAGAAAAGCCCCUCAACUUUGCAACCUGUGCACUGCCCUUACUGGGUAGUUUUCGGGUGGAGGGACCGGUCUCUCCCCACAUGGGACCGGUCCCUCAGGACCUUCCCGCAAAACCAACGUUCGGGAACCGGUCUCUCUGACCAGGGACCGGUUGCCUCAAAGUCUUCCGCAACUGUAGCUACGAGGGACCGGUCUCUCCCACCAGGGACCGGUCCCCGAGAGUGAAACUCUCAGGACUUAGCCAAAAAAAUCCAGAAUUUCGAUCUACGGGUCGGAACACCGUCUACGACCCUUCACAAGGUGUGGAAAAGCUCAGAACUCACAUCAAACACUCGAACCUCGCAAUUUGCACAGGUCCAGUAUGUUACAUAACAUAAGUUCACAUUAUGCACUAUCAUGCAUGUCUACUAAUCCAACUAGGAUGCGCUUUCUAGUAGUAGUUUCCACUUUACCCUUUAGGUAUCAUAGUUCAAUUCUCGUCAUGAAUCUACACGUGUGUAGU
rnacentral:lncRNA from 1 species